UCCUGGCUCAGGAUUACGCUGGCGGCGUGCCUUAUACAUGCAAGUCGAACGAACCUUCGGGUUAGUGGCAAACGGGUGAGUACCACGUAAGUAACCUACCCUCAAAUGGGGAAUAACUGUCCGAAAGGUCAGCUAAUACCGCAUGUGGUUUUGGGGUGCAAUUCCCCACAACUAAAGAUUUAUCGUUUGAGGAGGGGCUUGCGCCUGAUUAGCUUGUUGGUGAGGUAAUAGCUCACCAAGGCAAAGAUCAGUAGCUGGACUGAGAGGUUGACCAGCCACACUGGAACUGAGACACGGUCCAGACUCCUACGGGAGGCAGCAGUAAGGAAUCUUCCACAAUGGGCGAAAGCCUGAUGGAGCAACGCCGCGUGCAGGAUGAAGGCCCUCGGGUCGUAAACUGCUUUUCUGUGUGACGAAUAUUCGGACGGUAGCACAGGAAUAAGCGUCGGCUAACUACGUGCCAGCAGCCGCGGUAAUACGUAGGACGCAAGCGUUAUCCGGAUUUACUGGGUUUAAAGCGUGCGUAGGUUGUGCAGUAAGUCUGCGAUUAAAGAUCAAGGCUCAACCUUGGGAAUGUCGUAGAUACUGCCGCACUAGAGGUCAGACGGGGAAAGCGGAAUUCCCGGUGUAGGGGUAAAACCCGUUGAUAUCGGGAGGAACACCAGAGGCGAAGGCGGCUUUCUAGACUGAUUCUGACGCUAAGGCACGAAAGCCAGGGGAGCAAAGCGGAUUAGAUACCCGCGUAGUUCUGGCCCUAAACGAUGGAUGCUAGGCGUUGGAGGUAUCGACCCCUCCAGUGUCGCAGGGAAACCGGUAAGCAUCCCACCUGGGGAGUACGGUCGCAAGAUUAAAACUCAAAGGAAUUGACGGGGACCCGCACAAGCAGCGGAGCGCGUGGCUUAAUACGAUGAUACGCGUAGAACCUUACCAGGACUUGACAUCCGACUAAAACCUGCGAAAGUAGGCGUGUUCUUUUUAGAACGAGUCGUGACAGGUGUUGCAUGGCUGUCGUCAGCUCGUGCCGUGAGGUGUAGAGUUAAGUCUCGUAACGAGCGCAACCCCUAUCGUAUGUUGUAUUUUUCAUGCGAGACUGCCAGGGCUAACCUGGAGGAAGGAGGGGAUGAGGUCAAGUCAGUACGGCCCUUAUGUCCUGGGCUGCACACACGCUACAAUGGCUAGUACAAUGGGUUAUUGCCAAACCGCGAGGUGGAGCUAAUCUCAUCAAAGCUAGUCUCAGUACGGAUUGGAGUCUGCAUCUCGACUCCAUGAAGCUGGAGUUGCUAGUAAUCACCGGUCAGCUAUACGGUGGUGAUAUGUUCCCGGGUCUUGUACACACCGCCCGUCACACCGCGAAAGUUAGCAACACCCGAAGUCGCUGUGCCAACCGCAAGGAAGCAGGCGCCUAAGGUGGGGUUGAUGAUUGGGGUGAAGUCGU
rnacentral:rRNA from 1 species